ACCGGUGGACUAAACAUCAAGCCUCUGCACGAUUCAGGUAAGUGGAAUAAAAUACAUUGUAAAUAAACAUUAUUAAAACAGAUUGUGAAGUCAUUCAUUCAAAACUUGCUAUGACCUAAGCCUAAAUGACUUAAUUUCUUUUUAGAAUUAAGACAACCUUAGCAGGAGAGCCCCAGCAGUAACUUUCUCUCAAGCAGAUGAGCAAUAAGUUGCUUUAUAUGAACACCACCCUAACAAUCAAGUAGCCUGUUAACAGUAGACCAAAGGUAUGAUGAUCAAUUAUAAAUGCAAUAUGGUUGAAAGCUUGACAAAAAUGUAGCUUGAAGGAGAAGGGACAGCUGAGAAACAAAGUCUUGGUACGCAGACGACGAUACUAUUACACUGACAAGAGUGUAAUGAUGAUGGAGACACAAGCCAGAGAAAGGGGGGACCAAACACCAGGCCAGAAUUCUGCAUGAGUCAGAUCCAGUGGGUGCAGAUCAUCAUACAGAUGGUUCAAGUGUGGAUCCACCUAAUAUUCAAGAUUUUCUGUCCUGGGACACUCGGCUAACCAUCAAGAAAGAACACACUCCAGUGGGCAUCCUUUAUCCAUCCAGACCCUCAUACAGAUGGUUGGAGUUUUGAUUCACCUAAAGUACCAUGCAAGAGCACUCAUUUUCCCUCUUGAGACCAUGGUGUGACCUGCAAGGUCGAAUGGAGACUGUAAACGAGACAAUCUUGGAGUCACCUGCAUUCACUGGUCCAGUUGUUAGUCCAAUUACAGAUGGAGAUUAUAGAAGAGGAUGAUGUCUUUUCUCCAACAUCUUUCUAGACUGAUAAAAGAUCUAGACAGGCUUGAACAAAAGUUAACAGAGGGGCUUAUAUAGAGAAUGGUGAGCAGCUACACAUAAAAGAAGAACAUGGAGAAUCUGCCCAGAGGUGUUAACCAGCAAUGCAGCUAUACAACUAAAUUGAUGCAGGCGGAAACAAUGUGUAAUGCAGCUGCUGCAGAUGAAGAAUCCGUCCGUCUACCACUGAAGGAGACGCGGAUCAUCGGGAAAAGAUGUUCUUUGCCCGAGGAAGCAUUUGAUUAAUUUAAAGAUAUUGUGUUUCUUUGUAUGUUAUAGAAAAAAGUUGCUUUUUUGCAUACACUCGUGUAAAUAUGCAUCUUAUGAAUGUUUUCCUUUGUCUAAUUUUAAUAAAUUUUACGCAAUCAACUGCCUGUUUUAUUGAAAAUACUGUUUUAAUUGUUGUCAAUGAUAUAUUGUAAUAAUAUGUGUGUAUAACUGUGUAGAAGAUGUAGUUUAG